rnacentral:rRNA from 1 species
GGCGGCGCGCUUAAUACAUGCAAGUCGAACGAGAAGCCAGAGCUUGCUCUGGUGGAAAGUGGCGAACGGGUGAGUAACACGUGAGAAACCUGCCCCAAAGAUUGGGAUAAGCCUUGGAAACGAGGUCUAAUACCAAAUACCUUCCUUUUAACACAUGUUAAAAAGAGAAAUGCUCCGGCGCUUUGGGAUGGUCUCGCGAUCUAUCAGCUUGUUGGUGAGGUAAACGGCUCACCAAGGCAUCGACGGAUAGCUGGUCUGAGAGGAUGUCCAGCCACAUUGGAACUGAGACACGGUCCAAACUCCUACGGGAGGCAGCAGUAGGGAAUCUUGCACAAUGAGGGAAACCUUGAUGCAGCGACGCCGCGUGCGGGACGAAGGCCCUAGGGUUGUAAACCGCUUUCAGUAGGGACGAAAGUGACGGUACCUACAGAAGAAGCCCCGGCCAACUAUGUG